GAGUUUGAUCGUGGCUCAGGAUGAACGCUAGCGGCAGGCUUAACACAUGCAAGUCGAGGGGUAUUGUAGCAAUACAAGAGACCGGCAAACGGGUGCGGAACACGUACGCAACAUACCCGCUACAGGGGCAUAGCCCGGAGAAAUCCGGAUUAACACCCCAUAGUAUAAUUGGAAGGCAUCUUUUGAUUAUUAAAAAUUUAUUGGUAGCGGAUUGGCGUGCGUCCCAUUAGAUAGUUGGCGGGGUAACGGCCCACCAAGUCGACGAUGGGUAGCUGGUGUGAGAGCACGACCAGCCACACGGGCACUGAGACACGGGCCCGACUCCUACGGGAGGCAGCAGUGAGGAAUAUUGGUCAAUGGGCGCAAGCCUGAACCAGCCAUGCCGCGUGGAGGAUGAAGGCCUUCUGGGUUGUAAACUUCUUUUAUGUGGAAGAAAAGUACGGUUUCUACUGUAUCCGACGGUACCAUAUGAAUAAGCACCGGCUAACUCCGUGCCAGCCGCCGCAGUAAG
rnacentral:rRNA from 1 species